GGGUCCCCCGUCCCACCGGGAAACUAAACACUAAAACUAAAAUUAAAAAAUAAAUAAAAUUAAGCUAAACCCCAGGAAAUCCCCCUCAGGAAUGACCAGGACCAGCCCCGACAAGGCGUUGCCUUCCCGGACACCCCGAGGGCAGGAAGGUCCAGGGCCAGCCCCGACAGAGCGUUGCCUCCCUGGACCCCCAAGACCUCCAUACUAUCGCUAUGACUAACAGAACAAGAGUCCCCGAGAGUCCCCUCCAGAAGCGACCAGGACCAGCCCCGACAGAGCGUUGCCUUCCCAGUCACCUCAGAGGUGAUCGGGUUCCCAAAAGAAAGGGGAAUUUUUUGGAGGAGAAAUACAGUGAUCGGGUUCCCAAAAGAAAGGGGAAUUUUUUUGGAGGAGGAAUACAGUAAGUAAGGGUGAUUGAACUGAUAAACGGAUCCAGAUGAAUUAAGUUGUCUAAGGAGAGAGAGGGACAGAGAGAGAGAGAGAGAGAGAGAGAAAGAAAAAGAAAGAGGACGGGAGUAGGAACAGGUACAAGCUGUGGGAUCGUCACAGCGCUAAGGCUGAUCUUACGCUUCACCACAGCCCCGCCGGACUAGGCUUAACCUGUUUCUCCCUGCCCCCCCAGAAAAGGGAAUC